rnacentral:rRNA from 1 species
UAAGCGACUAAGCGUACACGGUGGAUGCCCUGGCAGUCAGAGGCGAUGAAGGACGUGCUAAUCUGCGAAAAGCGCCGGCGAGGUGAUAUGAACCCUUGACCCGGCGAUGUCCGAAUGGGGAAACCCAGUGCAAUCCGUUGCACUAUCGUUAACUGAAUACAUAGGUUAACGAGGCGAACCGGGGGAACUGAAACAUCUAAGUACCCCGAGGAAAAGAAAUCAACCGAGAUUCCCCCAGUAGCGGCGAGCGAACGGGGAGCAGCCCGGAGUCUGAAUCAGCUUGUGUGUUAGUGGAACGGUCUGGAAAGUCCGACGGUACAGGGUGAUAGUCCCGUACACGAAAGCACACAUGCUGUGAACUCGAAGAGUAGGGCGGGACACGUGGUAUCCUGUCUGAAUAUGGGGGGACCAUCCUCCAAGGCUAAAUACUCCUGACUGACCGAUAGUGAACCAGUACCGUGAGGGAAAGGCGAAAAGAACCCCGGCGAGGGGAGUGAAAAAGAACCUGAAACCGUGUACGUACAAGCAGUGGGAGCCUCUUUAUGGGGUGACUGCGUACCUUUUGUAUAAUGGGUCAGCGACUUAUAUUCUGUAGCAAGGUUAACCGUAUAGGGGAGCCGAAGGGAAACCGAGUCUUAACUGGGCGUUAAGUUGCAGGGUAUAGACCCGAAACCCGGUGAUCUAGCCAUGGGCAGGUUGAAGGUUGGGUAACACUAACUGGAGGACCGAACCGACUAAUGUUGAAAAAUUAGCGGAUGACCUGUGGCUGGGGGUGAAAGGCCAAUCAAACCGGGAGAUAGCUGGUUCUCCCCGAAAGCUAUUUAGGUAGCGCCUCGUGAACUCAUCUUCGGGGGUAGAGCACUGUUUCGGCUAGGGGGCCAUCCCGGCUUACCAACCCGAUGCAAACUACGAAUACCGAAGAAUGUUAUCACGGGAGACACACGGCGGGUGCUAACGUCCGUCGUGAAGAGGGAAACAACCCAGACCGCCAGCUAAGGUCCCAAAGUCAUGGUUAAGUGGGAAACGAUGUGGGAAGGCACAGACAGCCAGGAUGUUGGCUUAGAAGCAGCCAUCAUUUAAAGAAAGCGUAAUAGCUCACUGGUCGAGUCGGCCUGCGCGGAAGAUGUAACGGGGCUAAACCAUGCACCGAAGCUGCGGCAGCGACACUAUGUGUUGUUGGGUAGGGGAGCGUUCUGUAAGCCGUUGAAGGUGUGCUGUGAGGCAUGCUGGAGGUAUCAGAAGUGCGAAUGCUGACAUAAGUAACGAUAAAGCGGGUGAAAAGCCCGCUCGCCGGAAGACCAAGGGUUCCUGUCCAACGUUAAUCGGGGCAGGGUGAGUCGACCCCUAAGGCGAGGCCGAAAGGCGUAGUCGAUGGGAAACAGGUUAAUAUUCCUGUACUUGGUGUUACUGCGAAGGGGGGACGGAGAAGGCUAUGUCAGCCGGGCGACGGUUGUCCCGGUUUAAGCAUGUAGGCGGAGGUUCCAGGUAAAUCCGGUACCUUAUUAACGCUGAGGUGUGAUGACGAGGCACUACGGUGCUGAAGUGAUAAAUGCCCUGCUUCCAGGAAAAGCCUCUAAGCAUCAGGUAACACGAAAUCGUACCCCAAACCGACACAGGUGGUCAGGUAGAGAAUACCAAGGCGCUUGAGAGAACUCGGGUGAAGGAACUAGGCAAAAUGGUGCCGUAACUUCGGGAGAAGGCACGCUGAUGUGUAGGUGAAGCCCCUGCGGGUGGAGCUGAAAUCAGUCGAAGAUACCAGCUGGCUGCAACUGUUUAUUAAAAACACAGCACUGUGCAAACACGAAAGUGGACGUAUACGGUGUGACGCCUGCCCGGUGCCGGAAGGUUAAUUGAUGGGGUUAGCGGCAACGCGAAGCUCUUGAUCGAAGCCCCGGUAAACGGCGGCCGUAACUAUAACGGUCCUAAGGUAGCGAAAUUCCUUGUCGGGUAAGUUCCGACCUGCACGAAUGGCGUAAUGAUGGCCAGGCUGUCUCCACCCGAGACUCAGUGAAAUUGAACUCGCUGUGAAGAUGCAGUGUACCCGCGGCAAGACGGAAAGACCCCGUGAACCUUUACUAUAGCUUGACACUGAACACUGGUCCUUGAUGUGUAGGAUAGGUGGGAGGCUUUGAAGCGUGGACGCCAGUCUGCGUGGAGCCAACCUUGAAAUACCACCCUUUAAUGGCUGGUGUUCUAACGUAGACCCGUAAUCCGGGUUGCGGACAGUGUCUGGUGGGUAGUUUGACUGGGGCGGUCUCCUCCCAAAGAGUAACGGAGGAGCACGAAGGUUGGCUAAUCCUGGUCGGACAUCAGGAGGUUAGUGCAAUGGCAUAAGCCAGCUUGACUGCGAGCGUGACGGCGCGAGCAGGUGCGAAAGCAGGUCAUAGUGAUCCGGUGGUUCUGAAUGGAAGGGCCAUCGCUCAACGGAUAAAAGGUACUCCGGGGAUAACAGGCUGAUACCGCCCAAGAGUUCAUAUCGACGGCGGUGUUUGGCACCUCGAUGUCGGCUCAUCACAUCCUGGGGCUGAAGUAGGUCCCAAGGGUAUGGCUGUUCGCCAUUUAAAGUGGUACGCGAGCUGGGUUUAGAACGUCGUGAGACAGUUCGGUCCCUAUCUGCCGUGGGCGCUGGAGAAUUGAGGGGGGCUGCUCCUAGUACGAGAGGACCGGAGUGGACGCAUCACUGGUGUUCGGGUUGUCAUGCCAAUGGCACUGCCCGGUAGCUAAAUGCGGAAGAGAUAAGUGCUGAAAGCAUCUAAGCACGAAACUUGCCCCGAGAUGAGUUCUCCCUGAGACUUUAAGUCUCCUGAAGGAACGUUGAAGACGACGACGUUGAUAGGUCGGGUGUGUAAGCGCAGCGAUGCGUUGAGCUAACCGAUACUAAUGAACCGUGAGGCUUAACCU